rnacentral:rRNA from 1 species
GAUGAACGCUGGCGGCGUGCCUAAUACAUGCAAGUCGAGCGAACAGAUGAGGAGCUUGCUCCUCUGACGUUAGCGGCGGACGGGUGAGUAACACGUGGAUAACCUACCUAUAAGACUGGGAUAACUUCGGGAAACCGGUGCUAAUACCGGAUAAUAUCUUGAACCGCAUGGUUCAAUAGUGAAAGACGGUUUUGCUGUCACUUAUAGAUGGAUCCGCGCCGCAUUAGCUAGUUGGUAAGGUAACGGCUUACCAAGGCAACGAUGCGUAGCCGACCUGAGAGGGUGAUCGGCCACACUGGAACUGAGACACGGUCCAGACUCCUACGGGAGGCAGCAGUAGGGAAUCUUCCGCAAUGGGCGAAAGCCUGACGGAGCAACGCCGCGUGAGUGAUGAAGGUCUUCGGAUCGUAAAACUCUGUUAUUAGGGAAGAACAAAUGUGUAAGUAACUAUGCACGUCUUGACGGUACCUAAUCAGAAAGCCACGGCUAACUACGUG